CUCCCUCUCUCUCACCAGUAUCUGCAGGUGCCUCAGGGAAGCAGAGGCUGAGGUCCUAACCUGCCCUCUGCCACCCACCCAGCCAGUCUCCUCCCAGCAGGUGCAGCCAGGAGGUCAAGCUGGGUUUCUUUCCAGCAGGUGGGAAGCAGAACCAUGCUGGGUCCCCUUGCCCUCCUGUGCUCUCUCUUGUUUCCCGGCCUCGGAGCAGGACUCAAGCUGGAGCAGCCUGCUUUUGUGGUGGCGCGCUUGCCUUCGGACCGCUCAGCCACCCUGACUUGCAAAGUUGACAGCUCGGUCAGCUACAUCCACUGGUACCGCCACCAGGAGGGUGAGGCCCCCAGGAGGCUCCUGUACCUCGACAUGUCCAGGGGCUAUGCGCAGAGGGAUUAUCCUAUGAAAUCGGACAAAGUCAAUGCCGAGAAGGGCAGGGAUGGCUACAGCUGCACCCUGUCUGUGCUGAAGCUGGAGAAGAGCGACGAGGGCGUGUACUACUGCGCUGCCUGGGAUGGAAUAGCUCGGAGCAACAAAGUGUUUGGUCCUGGCACAAUUCUCAGGGUUACAGAUAGAAGUCCAAAUGCAGACAUUUCCCCCAAGCCCACAAUUUUUCUUCCUUCAAUUGCUGAAAUAAAAGCCCAGAAGGCUGGAACAUAUCUUUGUCUUCUCGAGGACUUUUCCCCAGACAUUAUCAAGAUAGAUUGGCAAGAAAAGGAUGACAAAACAAUUCUGACAUCCCAGCAAGGAGACACCAUGAAGACUAAAGACACAUACAUGAAAUUCAGCUGGCUGACCGUGACUGAAGCGUCACUGGAUAAAGAACACAAAUGUAUCGUCAAACAUGAGAGUGAUAGAACAAAGGUUAAUCGAGAGAUUCUUUUUCCUUCAAUAGACAAAGAUUUGAUGGAGGCAAUCCAAUCCGAAGGGGACUCCCAGGGCCAUUCAGAGACAAAGCAAAACACGGACGUGGUAACUGUGAGCCCUGUGCGUUCAGAAUCUUUCUCGCCUAUUCCAAGCGCUGUGGAGCUUGCUGCUAUUAACUCCAUAAAUGCUUCUCUGAAUGAUGAAAAUGACACCCUGCAGCUGCAGCUCAUGAACACGUCUGCCUACUACACCUACCUCCUCGUCCUUGUGAAGAGCCUGGUCUACUCCGCCAUCAUGGCCGUCUGUCUGCUCGGGAGAUCAGCGCUCUAUGGCAAUGGGAAGAGUUCCUAACACAUGGUGACACAAGGGUCCACUUCUUCCCAUUGGCUGUUGUCCUUAAAAGUGUGUGCUGAGGAUCUAGUGGGACUUCUUUCUGGGUUAUUUCAGUUCACAUGUGUCUUUUUCUCUUGUGUCAUUAUUGCAGAAUGGGUUUACAAAUCACUGGGCAAACAGAAACUUUCACUCUGCAGCAAGAACAAAUGCUGCCAUGACUCAGGGGCGGGGCCAGGGACCAUCCACAGGAGCCUCAGCACCGCUCUCUCCUCAGUGUCCACCAGCCCCUCAGCCACCCAGACCCCACGCCUCUGCGCACAGCCAGCAUGAAGCUUCUAGUCGUGUCCCCCGGGGCUCUUUCACCAGAUGACCGCCUGGAAGCCUUUUAUUUUACAUACUUGGAACCUGCCAUCCUUGCUACCUGAAGCUUGUACUGUUUUUCAUCAUAGGCACAAUAAAAGCAAUCAAAAUCUA